rnacentral:lncRNA from 1 species
UUAUACUAUGAUAUUAAUUGGUCACUUUUUAUUUCCCAAAACUAUUGAUAAUAUUGUAAACAUUAUAUAUUUACCUUUGUUAAGAGGUAGAUAAAAUAAGACCAUAUAGUUGGUAUUCAACUGUUUUGUCAUAUCUAUAUAGUUCUUUAUGUAAAAACGCACAUAAAGAUAUUUGUUCAUGAAUGUCUUCCCUAGCCCACGUCAAUGACAACAACUUCACAUUCCCAUAUAUGACAAAG